GACGUAGGGCGCGAGCGUUGUCCGGAUUUAUGGGGCGUAAAGAGCUCGUAGGCGGCUUGUCGCGUCGACCGUGAAAACUUGGGGCUCAACCCCAAGCCUGCGGUCGAUACGGGCGGACUUGAGUGUUGCAGGGGAGACUGGAAUUCCUGGUGUAGCGGUGAAAUGCGCAGAUAUCAGGAGGAACACCGGUGGCGAAGGCGGGUCUCUGGGCAACUACUGACGCUGAGGAGCGAAAGCGUGGGGAGCGAACAGG
rnacentral:rRNA from 1 species